GGAGCUGUGCUGGGGAAGGGAAACCAAGGUUUGGAACCACACUAGCCUUCACAUUCCUGGGAGGAUACAACCCUCGCCUGGACGGGGAAGAUAGCUCUUUCUCUUUAUUUUUUCGUUUUUAUUUUUUGCCUUUCUGUUUUUAUUUUUGGAGGGGAGCGCCCAGUAAUUGUCUUGAACACAUGCUUCUCCCUCCCUCCUUCCUCCAGCCACCAGCGACAGAGAGUCCCCUUUUUUGCAUUUAUCAUUUUCCUUCCCCUUUCUUUAUUAAAGGUCCGGGAGUGGCGGCGGCCAAUCAGCGCUCGGCUUCCAUUUUGUGAGUUCAACUCGUAGGCUUCCCCGGCUUUUCGCGUGGAUCUGGUUGCAGACGCCCUCGGUCUCUCUUCUCGGGCUGCCGAGGCGAAGCAGCCGCCUCGCCGGGGCUUCGUGGUGGUGUAUUUCAUAUUGGGGCUCUUUUCGGGGUUUGUAAUUUGGCCGUGGGUAGGUAAUUGGCUGGAGCAGGGCGGCAGGGUGCGGCAGCCAAUCAGCGCGCGGCUUCUAUAGGGCUUGAGUUAUUAGACGCUGAUCUCAAAACAUCCUUCAUCAGACUCCAAGGAGAGGCCAACAGAUGAGGGAGCCAUUUUUCUGCAAUGGAAUUAAAUGGCCAAGUGGGACUCACACUUGGAAGAAUGAAGACCUUUUAAAAAGAUCUGGAUUUUUCCUUAUGACUUGGAAUCCAUCUUUGUCUUGUAUAACUAGGUCAUAGCACACUAUUAAUGUCAGCAGUUAACAGUUUUGAAUUCAAAAAAACCUAAAGCACUAAACAGCCCUCAGCGAAGCCGCCUUUUUGCCAGCCCAACCCUGGAAAGUUUGCAGUCGUGGAAGGAGCAGAAAUACCACGAGUGUAACUUACAAAGAAGCUUUUUCUUCUAGACGCCAUGGCGCCGGGCUGAGUGGGUCUUGGCCGGAGACCGGAGCCAUGUCUGUGUUAUCCCCACUGUAGACAAUCCUUGCUUCCUCUGGACAUCUGGAGCAGGCCCAAUUUGACUGAGAGCCUUCCCCCACUAAGGAAUUCCUGGACAAUGGAGAGUGCCCCAGGCCCCCUGAACAUCUUGCUGA
ensembl:lincRNA AI480526 expressed sequence AI480526